GAUGAACGCUAGCGGCAGGCUUAACACAUGCAAGUCGAGGGGCAGCGCGGGAUAGCAAUAUCCUGGCGGCGACCGGCGGAAGGGUGCGUAACGCGUGAGCGACAUGCCCGUUGCCCGGGGACAACCGGUGGAAACGCCGACUAAUCCCCGAUGGGAUACGAUGCUUCAUGGCAUUGUAUUGAAAGUUACGGCGGCGACGGAUUGGCUCGCGUCCGAUUAGCUGGUUGGCGGGGUAACGGCCCACCAAGGCUGCGAUCGGUAGGGGUUCUGAGAGGAAGGCCCCCCACAAUGGGACUGAGACACGGCCCAUACUCCUACGGGAGGCAGCAGUGAGGAAUAUUGGUCAAUGGGCGGAAGCCUGAACCAGCCAUGCCGCGUGCGGGAAGGAGGCCAUAUGGGCUGUGAACCGCUUUUGCCUGGGGGCAAUAAGGGCGUCGCGCACGUCCGAUGAGAGUACCAGGCGAAUAAGCAUCGGCUAACUCCGUG
rnacentral:rRNA from 1 species